rfam:Nematostella vectensis strain CH2 x CH6 NEMVEscaffold_330_Cont24027, whole genome shotgun sequence.
GGCUCAGUGGUCUAGUGGUUUGAUUCUCGCUUUUGGUAAGAGAGACCACGGGUUCGAUUCCCGUCUGAGCCC